rnacentral:rRNA from 1 species
GAUCCUGGCUCAGGAUGAACGCUGGCGGCGUGCUUAACACAUGCAAGUCGAACGGGAAACAUUUUAUUGAAGCUUCGGCAGAUUUAGCUUGUUUCUAGUGGCGGACGGGUGAGUAACGCGUGGGUAACCUGCCUUAUACCGGGGGAUAACAGCCAGAAAUGGCUGCUAAUACCGCAUAAGUGCACAGGACCGCAUGGUUCCGUGUGAAAAACUCCGGUGGUAUAAGAUGGACCCGCGUUGGAUUAGCUAGUUGG